GCACGUAACCGCUUGGAGACUGUCUGGAGUCUGUCUGAAAUUGAUAAAAUUGGAGAUGGAGUUUUACAUCUCUUUGCUCAUUUACAAGAAAAGGUGCCCGUUGGAAAUGGGAAUUUUUGCUCUCCUCCUCACACGCCUUCGCCCUUGAGUCGCUACGCUCAGCCAGAAAUAUUUUUCAGGGGAUCAGCUCUCAGCCCUGGAGUUCAAGAGGAGUGCACCAUCCACAAGGCAUCAUGCACCAGUAUAAAAAGUAUCUUUGCAGGCCUGUCCCAAACCUGACCCAGUGUCUGACAAAAAUGUUUGGAAUUGCAAUUAGAAAGGACAGCCAUGGUUUUUUGCCUCCUGUCAUGCCUUCAUGUCUUCAACGCUGGAGUUUGUCUGCCUAAAUGGUCCGGCUGCCACUUCAGAACAACUCUAUUGCAGUGUAUUCCAUAUCCAAAUUACUGUGUGGAGAAAUUUAAGUGUAGAGAGUUGGCUGUGGACUAGGAGGAAGAUGUCAUGCUAAGGAUGGGUUUUGGUGAUGAUGUUGCUGCUGUUGAUGCAGCAUCGAGCUCUCACUUUGUGCCUCUGUCAGCUAUGAUGCGUAACCACAAAGUGAGUGACAGGCCAGUCCCUGGGGAAAGCAAGGGGCCUGAGAAGCACAGGCUCUUUUCAGAAACGGCGAGGAGGACUGACCAUCGUGAAGACACUGCUGGGAGCAGCCCUAUCUGCUUUAAUGGUAGUCACUGGCCGUUACACAUGGCGUUCAAAGACUAGUGGUGCAAGUAUGGAAAUGCAGAUAAGGCAUUGUUGAGGAAACAUGCCUAGGAAUUGUUCAAGGCUUUCCCUUGCAUAAUGUUGGAUGCUUUUGCGAAUGUUUUUAUAUCAAAACCAGUGAAUUUGAUCCUCUAUGAAUCUGAUCCUGGACUGCCCAAAGAAUGAGGGGGUGUUUGUUAUGCUCUGCAAAUUAAAAAUGUUUGUGAUUUAAUUUGUGAAUAUUUGAAAUCUGGCAACAUUUGUUUAAAACUAUUAUUUUAUCUAUUUCUCUUCUAGACAAUUUUGGCCAGUAAUGCAAGGGUUUUUUUUGUUUUUUUUUUGUUUUUUUUUGGCAGAACAUUGAUUGAAGGUCACAUUUACUGCUUUGGCCAGGCCUCGGUUAUUUUUUUUCUGCAUUUUUAGAGUAAUAAAUGAACCCCCUGCUUCAUAUAAACAUGCCAGAAACUUGUUUGUGUAUAAUCUUCAAGCUUUAUUUACUCUUCUUUUGCAGUUUUCAGGAGGCAGUUAAUUACACAAAUUAAUACAUGAUACAAAUUAUGUACAUUUAUACCAAAGAAUA